UCUGACCAUGAGCAGUUAACACCCAGCUCCUUAUGGAGCUCUAUUUAGAUCCUCAUCAAUCACUACCAUUCCUUUGUUUUUCUAGCCGUUUGUCUACCAAACAAUUCAGCAAACACAUUGGAUUCCCACUCUCAGUGAAGGAUCAAUAGAUAAACAAGGCAGGAUGCCUGUGUACUUGGGAGAUACUACAUACCUAGUAAGGGCCACUAAAUGGAAGUCAGAGGACAGAGACAAAUCUGCAUCCUUGAAGGAGUCAGUCACCUAGUCAGGAUAGGACGCAACUAUGUUACACAGCUGCCAUCUUGGGAGAAAGAGAAAAGCAGAGAGAGCACAGAAAAUUGACCUGUAAUUUAAAAAGAAAAUGACUCCUGAUGAGGUUGACACAGCCUACAUCAGAAAUGGGACAGUGAAUUAAAUGGUGUCAGCACUCUGUGACCUCAAGCCACGAGAAAGUGUUUCGUGAAUGGGUGGGCUAUCAGAAUGCCACCCAAAAUGCACUGGAAAGAGGUUGGUACAAUUGCUCUUACGUGAAGAUGCUGUAAAAAAAAAAAAGCACAGCUUUUUCAGCCUCUAACUUUUUUGGAUAUUAAAUUUACUCUGCUGUAUUACACAUAUUCUGCCCUUCUGUGCAGUUGUUGGGUUUGCGCCAGAAAAAUAAGUUAGUGGAGCUCUCACUCAGAUAGAUCAUCCAAGGACCUUUAUUCCAUACUUUGUUCCUUACAGUUGAGUGGCAUUUUUAUUUUAAAGAAAUCCAAGUGACCAGAUACUAUUUUGGUAAUAUCUUAUUCUUUAUUAUCCUAUUUUUUCCUUUUCUGUAUUUUCUUUGUUGAAACAGUUUGUAGGUCUGGUCUUCCUUACCUCCAGAGAGGAAAGGACAGGAUAAACUUGGGAAUCCUGGCUUUUGUUUUCCAAAUCCCAAACCCUGGAGAGAGGAGGAAAUUUGUGACCCCAAGAAAAGUGAUCUUAAUAAGCGUGGCAAGUAAAGGAUUUCCCAAGACAAGGAAUUUUCCCCAAGGCCCAGGGCUAUA